rnacentral:rRNA from 1 species
AUUGAACGCUGGCGGCAUGCCUUACACAUGCAAGUCGAACGGCAGCACGGGUGCUUGCACCUGGUGGCGAGUGGCGAACGGGUGAGUAAUACAUCGGAACGUACCUAUCGUGGGGGAUAACGCAGCGAAAGCUGUGCUAAUACCGCAUACGCCCUGAGGGGGAAAGCGGGGGAUCGCAAGACCUUGCGCGAUUAGAGCGGCCGAUGCCUGAUUAGCUUGUUGGUGGGGUAAAAGCCCACCAAGGCGACGACGAGUAGCUGGUCUGAGAGGACGAUCAGCGACACUGGGACUGAGACACGGCCCAGACUCCUACGGGAGGCAGCAGUGGGGAAUUUUGGACAAUGGGGGCAACCCUGAUCCAGCAAUGCCGCGUGAGUGAAGAAGGCCUUCGGGUUGUAAAGCUCUUUUGUCAGGGAAGAAACACCGGCUCUAACACAGUCCGGGAAUGACGGUACCUGAAGAAUAAGCACCGGCUAACUACGUGCCAGCCGCCGCGGUAA